GACGAACGCUGGCGGCGUGCUUAACACAUGCAAGUCGAGCGAUGAAGCUCCUUCGGGAGUGGAUUAGCGGCGGACGGGUGAGUAACACGUGGGUAACCUGCCUCAUAGAGGGGAAUAGCCUUUCGAAAGGAAGAUUAAUACCGCAUAAGAUUGUAGUACCGCAUGGUAUAGCAAUUAAAGGAGUAAUCCGCUAUGAGAUGGACCCGCUUCGCAUUAGCUAGUUGGUGAGGUAACGGCUCACCAAGGCGACGAUGCGUAGCCGACCUGAGAGGGUGAUCGGCCACAUUGGGACUGAGACACGGCCCAGACUCCUACGGGAGGCAGCAGUGGGGAAUAUUGCACAAUGGGGGAAACCCUGAUGCAGCAACGCCGCGUGAGUGAUGACGGUCUUCGGAUUGUAAAGCUCUGUCUUCAGGGACGAUAAUGACGGUACCUGAGGAGGAAGCCACGGCUAACUACGUGCCAGCCGCCGCAGUAAUAC
rnacentral:rRNA from 1 species